CACAUAGUCAACCCCUCCCCCACACCUAUACCCGCGCGCGCGUCUCUCGCUCUCGUCUGGAGCUAAUGAUUGCAUCUCGUGACUCACUGGACGAGCAGGUGAAAAUGCAGCAGCAAUCAACGUGUUCAUCUCCAAGGUUAAUGGUUGCUACUUAGGUUUUCACUCAUGGAGAGAAGACGACGACUUCGACCAAUACAAGAUGCGGAGUACCAUAUCCAAGCGGGGAUUGAUAAACCAUGUCUCCAGCAGCAUUUUAUCAAUAAUUUUAAAGGCCGAGGUGUUUUUGCCACUGAACUCAUAUUCAAAGGCGACUUUGUUGUGGAGUACCGAGGGAAACUACUGUCACCGCAGCAGGCAGAGCUCCAAACUAUUGAGUACAAUAAGUCUGCAAAGGUUUUUCUUUUUGAUUUUCAUUGGAAGAGUAAAACAUGGUGGUAAGUAGAUGAAGUGGCUAUGUAGCAACGUUACAAUGCAAGGGCCAUGUCUAAAAUCUAGAGUUGUUCUCUUUAUGUUAGUGCCUUUGUCAGUACUACUUCAGUGACAGUUUUCUACCCUUCAGUGCACCUUCGCAGUGACAGUUAUCUGCCCUUCACUGCACCUUCGC